UGCCAGCCGCCGCGGUAAUACGGAGGGUGCAAGCGUUGUUCGGAAUCAUUGGGCGUAAAGCGGGUGCAGGCGGUGGAGUAAGUCAGAUGUGAAAGCCCGGGGCUCAACCCCGGAAGUGCAUUGGAUACUGGCAGACUUGAGUACGGGAGAGGGAAGUGGAAUUCCGAGUGUAGGAGUGAAAUCCGUAGAUAUUCGGAGGAACACCGGUGGCGAAGGCGGCUUCCUGGACCGAUACUGACGCUGAGACGCGAAAGCGUGGGGAGCAAACAGGAUUAGAUA
rnacentral:rRNA from 1 species